GUGGGGAAUUUUGGACAAUGGGCGCAAGCCUGAUCCAGCAAUGCCGCGUGCAGGAAGAAGGCCUUCGGGUUGUAAACUGCUUUUGUACGGAACGAAACGGUCCUGGCUAAUAUCCGGGGCUAAUGACGGUACCGUAAGAAUAAGCACCGGCUAACUACGUGCCAGCAGCCGCGGUAAUACGUAGGGUGCAAGCGUUAAUCGGAAUUACUGGGCGUAAAGCGUGCGCAGGCGGUUUUGUAAGACAGGCGUGAAAUCCCCGGGCUCAACCUGGGAAUUGCGCUUGUGACUGCAAGGCUGGAGUGCGGCAGAGGGGGAUGGAAUUCCGCGUGUAGCAGUGAAAUGCGUAGAUAUGCGGAGGAACACCGAUGGCGAAGGCAAUCCCCUGGGCCUGCACUGACGCUCAGGCACGAAAGCGUGGGGAGCAAACAGGAUUAGAUACCCCAGUAGUCC
rnacentral:rRNA from 1 species